CUACGGGAUGCAGCAGUGAGGAAUAUUGCACAAUGGGGGGAACCCUGAUGCAGCAACGCCGCGUGGAGGAUGACGCAUUUCGGUGUGUAAACUCCUUUUAUAUGUCAAGAAAAUGACGGUAGCAUAUGAAUAAGCACCGGCUAACUCCGUGCCAGCAGCCGCGGUAAUACGGAGGGUGCAAGCGUUACUCGGAACCACUGGGCGUAAAGGACGCGUAGGCGGGUUGGAAAGUCAGGUGUGAAAUCCUACAGCUUAGCUGUAGAACUGCACUUGAAACUUCUAAUCUAGAGUAUGGGAGGGGGAGAUGGAAUUAGUGGUGUAGGGGUAAAAUCCGUAGAUAUCACUAGGAAUACCUAAAGCGAAGGCGAUCUCCUGGAACAUUACUGACGCUAAGGCGUGAAAGCGUGGGGAGCAAACAGGAUUAGAUACCCGGGUAGUC
rnacentral:rRNA from 1 species